rnacentral:rRNA from 1 species
GUGCAGCAGUCGCGAAAACUUUGCAAUAAGCGAAAGCUUGACAGGGCUAUCCCGAGUGCCAUCCGCUGAGGAAGGCUUUUACCCAGUCUAGAAAGCUGGGGGAAUAAGGAGAGGGCAAGUCUGGUGUCAGCCGCCGCGGUAAUACCAGCUCUCCGAGUGGUGGGGACGUUUAUUGGGCCUAAAGCAUCCGUAGCUGGCUGAGUUAGUCCCCUGUUAAAUCCACCGAAUUAAUCGUUGGAUUGCGGGGGAUACUGCUCGGCUAGGGUACGUGAGAGGCAGACGGUAUUUUCGGGGUAGGGGUGAAAUCCUAUAAUCCCGGGAAGACCACCAGUGGCGUAGGCGGUCGGCUAGCACGCGCUCGACAGUGAGGGACGAAAGCUGGGGUAGCGAACCGGAUUAGAUACCCGUGUAGUCC